rnacentral:rRNA from 1 species
UGAGGGAAAGGCGAAAAGAACCCCGGCGAGGGGAGUGAAAAAGAACCUGAAACCGUGUACGUACAAGCAGUGGGAGCACGCUUAGGCGUGUGACUGCGUACCUUUUGUAUAAUGGGUCAGCGACUUAUAUUCUGUAGCAAGGUUAACCGAAUAGGGGAGCCGAAGGGAAACCGAGUCUUAACUGGGCGUUAAGUUGCAGGGUAUAGACCCGAAACCCGGUGAUCUAGCCAUGGGCAGGUUGAAGGUUGGGUAACACUAACUGGAGGACCGAACCGACUAAUGUUGAAAAAUUAGCGGAUGACUUGUGGCUGGGGGUGAAAGGCCAAUCAAACCGGGAGAUAGCUGGUUCUCCCCGAAAGCUAUUUAGGUAGCGCCUCGUGAAUUCAUCUCCGGGGGUAGAGCACUGUUUCGGCAAGGGGGUCAUCCCGACUUACCAACCCGAUGCAAACUGCGAAUACCGGAGAAUGUUAUCACGGGAGACACACGGCGGGUGCUAACGUCCGUCGUGAAGAGGGAAACAACCCAGACCGCCAGCUAAGGUCCCAAAGUCAUGGUUAAGUGGGAAACGAUGUGGGAAGGCCCAGACAGCCAGGAUGUUGGCUUAGAAGCAGCCAUCAUUUAAAGAAAGCGUAAUAGCUCACUGGUCGAGUCGGCCUGCGCGGAAGAUGUAACGGGGCUAAACCAUGCACCGAAGCUGCGGCAGCGACGCUGAUGCGUUGUUGGGUAGGGGAGCGUUCUGUAAGCCUGCGAAGGUGUGCUGUGAGGCAUGCUGGAGGUAUCAGAAGUGCGAAUGCUGACAUAAGUAACGAUAAAGCGGGUGAAAAGCCCGCUCGCCGGAAGACCAAGGGUUCCUGUCCAACGUUAAUCGGGGCAGGGUGAGUCGACCCCUAAGGCGAGGCCGAAAGGCGUAGUCGAUGGGAAACAGGUUAAUAUUCCUGUACUUGGUGUUACUGCGAAGGGGGGACGGAGAAGGCUAUGUUGGCCGGGCGACGGUUGUCCCGGUUUAAGCGUGUAGGCUGGUUUUCCAGGCAAAUCCGGAAAAUCAAGGCUGAGGCGUGAUGACGAGGCACUACGGUGCUGAAGCAACAAAUGCCCUGCUUCCAGGAAAAGCCUCUAAGCAUCAGGUAACAUCAAAUCGUACCCCAAACCGACACAGGUGGUCAGGUAGAGAAUACCAAGGCGCUUGAGAGAACUCGGGUGAAGGAACUAGGCAAAAUGGUGCCGUAACUUCGGGAGAAGGCACGCUGAUAUGUAGGUGAAGUCCCUUGCGGAUGGAGCUGAAAUCAGUCGAAGAUACCAGCUGGCUGCAACUGUUUAUUAAAAACACAGCACUGUGCAAACACGAAAGUGGACGUAUACGGUGUGACGCCUGCCCGGUGCCGGAAGGUUAAUUGAUGGGGUUAGCGCAAGCGAAGCUCUUGAUCGAAGCCCCGGUAAACGGCGGCCGUAACUAUAACGGUCCUAAGGUAGCGAAAUUCCUUGUCGGGUAAGUUCCGACCUGCACGAAUGGCGUAAUGAUGGCCAGGCUGUCUCCACCCGAGACUCAGUGAAAUUGAACUCGCUGUGAAGAUGCAGUGUACCCGCGGCAAGACGGAAAGACCCCGUGAACCUUUACUAUAGCUUGACACUGAACAUUGAGCCUUGAUGUGUAGGAUAGGUGGGAGGCUUAGAAGUGUGGACGCCAGUCUGCAUGGAGCCGACCUUGAAAUACCACCCUUUAAUGUUUGAUGUUCUAACGUUGACCCGUAAUCCGGGUUGCGGACAGUGUCUGGUGGGUAGUUUGACUGGGGCGGUCUCCUCCUAAAGAGUAACGGAGGAGCACGAAGGUUGGCUAAUCCUGGUCGGACAUCAGGAGGUUAGUGCAAUGGCAUAAGCCAGCUUGACUGCGAGCGUGACGGCGCGAGCAGGUGCGAAAGCAGGUCAUAGUGAUCCGGUGGUUCUGAAUGGAAGGGCCAUCGCUCAACGGAUAAAAGGUACUCCGGGGAUAACAGGCUGAUACCGCCCAAGAGUUCAUAUCGACGGCGGUGUUUGGCACCUCGAUGUCGGCUCAUCACAUCCUGGGGCUGAAGUAGGUCCCAAGGGUAUGGCUGUUCGCCAUUUAAAGUGGUACGCGAGCUGGGUUUAGAACGUCGUGAGACAGUUCGGUCCCUAUCUGCCGUGGGCGCUGGAGAACUGAGGGGGGCUGCUCCUAGUACGAGAGGACCGGAGUGGACGCAUCACUGGUGUUCGGGUUGUCAUGCCAAUGGCACUGCCCGGUAGCUAAAUGCGGAAGAGAUAAGUGCUGAAAGCAUCUAAGCACGAAACUUGCCCCGAGAUGAGUUCUCCCUGACUCCUUGAGAGUCCUGAAGGAACGUUGAAGACGACGACGUUGAUAGGCCGGGUGUGUAAGCGCAGCG